rnacentral:lncRNA from 1 species
ACUUUGAGAGGACUAUUCCUAAAAGCCAAAUUUAACAACACAUCCAGCCUCAGACUCAGGUCCCUGGACUUUGGGACUCAUUCUGCUCGACUUGAUCCCUGCUCUGCCCAUUGAUCACAUACACACGUUUACACCUGGCAGAAGAGGAAGAGGAGGCAUGAAGGAAUGGCCUCUUCAGAAUGGAGAAAAGCCUUCCCCAUGAGAACAUGCCUAAGACAGACUGCUGAAGAAGGCGGCAAAUGGAACAGCGCUGAAUCAGCCUGGUCAUCCCAGUCAAGCCUCCAGACAUGUAAGCACCCUCCUCUGAUCUGCAGAGCUGCCUGGCCCAAAUACUGUUGACCACUCUUGAGUAAGCCCCACCAAGAUCAGCUGAGAACAGUAGAACUGACCAGAUGACUCUAACCUCAUGAAUAAAUCCAAGUGUUUUUUUAUUUGC